AUGGAGGUGGAUUGCCUUGAGGUCGUAAACCUUUGGAACUCUCGCUACCACACUCGUUCUGUGGUGGCACCGCUUCUACUGGAAAUAUGGGAUUUAUCUGCUAGUUUUAUCUCUUUUUCUAUUUAGCAUGUAUCUAGAUCAUCCAACUUUUCGGCGCACCUCUGUGCUAAACGAGGUUGCUCUUUGUUAGUUAUCGAGAGUUGGACGGACACUGAACCUCCUUUCCUAGUCAGUAGCAUCACGGCUGAUUGUGCUAGGUGUGCUUUUGUUGAAUAA
rnacentral:rRNA from 1 species